CCCGCGCCUCCCGGGCCUCCAGCGCUCCCUGCAGCCCCCGCGUCUCCCGCCGCCCCUGCAGCCCACGGCGCCCCCGCCCCGACGCCGGUCGAACAGGCUCCCGUGGCGCCUCCCCGGCCACGCACCUCCAAACCGGCCGGGAAAGCCCUCCAGCGGCCGCCGGGCGGCGAGCCCAGGUCUGAGUCCAGCUCUCCCCUCAUUAGUAGGCAGGGCCAGUCGGAGCCGAGCAAGGCGCUGCGGCGGCUGACGCCAGCCUCCACGCCGCGGCCGGCGCCCG